AUAAGUUAUAUAACUCUGCCAUGUGAAGUGCUACUUCAUAAAUCCUAAUCAUUCUUAAGCUUAUUAUGCUGCAUUUGGUUUAAAUUCAUACCUAAUUUAGAUCCAUUCACUAUUGAAAGUCUUACAUUUAUCUUCCUUUUAAAUAAAUAAAAAAGGUAGAUAGAUCAUGCACUUUGGAUUCAUUGGUUAACUUUGCCUUGCCCUUCCAGUGAAAGACUUUCCAGGAAUUAAGAUUGCGGAGGAGUCGGAAUGGAAGAAUAGCAUUCAGGGCUCAACAGGGGUGGUUAACUUGGCUGGAAUAUCCAUAAGUACCAGAUGGUCUUCGGAGAUAAAAACAGAAAUCAAGCAGAGCAGGAUUAAAGUAACAUCAAAAGUAAGCAUAUGAUUCCUGAUGGUACAAAUUGAAAAUGAACCUUUUUAUAUGUAUAUUUUUCUUGACAAAUAUAUGUGCAUCAAGUUAAGCAAGUUUUACUUACAAGAAAUUGCUUAUUCUUCCUCUGACCUAUCCAUUUAAUAGCUUAAAAAUCUGGAUUCAGCAGAAGUAUGGAAGCAGUGUAGGAGUGCCUUUUCUAUAUAUUAGCACAGGUUAUUGUACAUUAGGGAGAUAAUAUUAAAAGUUUUAGGUUUGUGCAUCAAUUCUUGAGUUUACUUUACUAAAAGCACUAAACUUUAUUAUUUAUUAAUUAUAAACAGAGAUUAUUGAAGGAGGUUCACAUUAUUAUUAAACCAAUUAUCCCGAGAGACUCGUUAGCUAUUAGUCUGUUCUGGUGUUAUGUAAAAGUUUCUUUUGAAAGCAAAACAGUUCUGCUUCUGCAUUAUUACUAUGAAGUCUGUAGUAUUUUUAAAUUUAACUAAAUGAACUAAAUAGUAAAUAAUGCCUAUGCUUGUUAUUUGAUUUGUAGGAAGGCUGAGAGGGGUUAGUAUUUUAUGAUUGCUGUUAGCUUGCUACAUCAUUGUCUAGAAACAGAUUUGUGUUUUAAGUAUAUUUUCUCAUAUAUUGUAUUUUACUUCAGAAGAUAUAGUUGUGGUUUGGCAAAAAUCACGAGUGGUUAGAAAAUUGUUUUCCUGGAUUCAUUUGGAUGACAUUGUUAAUUUAAUAUAUGAAGCACUGAUAAAUCCCUCCUAUAAAGUGUGGCCAGCAUUUAGUAAAGAAUAAAGAAGGCAGAGGAUAAUGUUGAGGAUGAUAAUGAAGAUUAAGCUGAUUAUUAUUGUGGUUUAUUGGCUAUAAGAUAGAGUAGUGUUGAAAAUGGAUACAUGUAUGGUUGACUACUAAUGCCUUUUAUUAGAAGAUGCUUAUGUAGGAUAUGUUUCUCGUAGAGUAUUACUAGUAAAUUCUAAGUAGCAUCAUGGUUAUUUUGAUAUGGCUAUGCUUACUUUAGUGUGAGAUGUAUGAAUACUCACAAUUAACUUCAUUCUAGUACUUUUGGAUCA